rnacentral:rRNA from 1 species
GUGUCAGCAGCCGCGGUAAUACGGAGGGUGCAAGCGUUAUCCGGAUUCACUGGGUUUAAAGGGUGCGUAGGUGGGUUGAUAAGUCAGUGGUGAAAUCUCCAGGCUUAACUUGGAAACUGCCAUUGAUACUAUUGAUCUUGAAUACCGUGGAGGUCAGCGGAAUAUGUCAUGUAGCGGUGAAAUGCUUAGAUAUGACAUAGAACACCAAUUGCGAAGGCAGCUGGCUACACGAAUAUUGACACUCAGGCACGAAAGCGUGGGGAUCAAACAGGAUUAGAUACCCUGGUAGUCCACGCCCUAAACUAUGGAUACUCGACAUUUGCGAUACACAGCAAGUGUCUGAGCGAAAGCAUUAAGUAUCCCACCUGGGAAGUACGAUCGCAAGAUUGAA